GCUGUGUCUUGCAGCCUGUGGGCUUUUUCUGGCUGCUGUGGCCCACUACGCCUGCAGCAGGACUGGAGGCUUGCAGGACUGAUACCCAUUCCCCAGAGCAACCCUCAACCAAUGACCUUCAGGAUUGGGUGGAUAAAUAUCCCAGCUCUCUUACUCUUCAGCACCAUGAGAAGAGCUUCUCCCCUGUAAAUGGCCACUCUCACUUGUGGGUCCAUGACUAGCUGAACUGAACCCAUUCCACAGUAAGGACCCAAGCCCAGCAGAUCUGCAGCCAAAACCAAAGUUGCUCAGUGGGACCCAUGCCACAUAAGCCGACCCAUGGCCAACCUGAAAAUAAAUUUUCAGCCAAGACAUUCUUUUGCAGCCUAAGAGGGUUAUUAUGGAGAGGUGGAAAGAUCUUCAAACCUGGAAGGCUUGCUUCAAACCCCAGCUCUACUCCAACUACAGGAUUGGGGCAGAGGCUGGAAGAGCUAAAAUGUUCAUUUCUCAGCCUCUCCUUCUGCCAGCAAUAAGACACUGGGAGGUCUGUUGAUGUGGCAGAUGGCGGUGGCAUGCCCUGUGUCCCAUGCCCACAGUCUAAUCACCUCUGACUUCAGUCACAGCUGUGGUGGACAGUUCCGUGUGUUCCAAUUCACCUCAUGCAAGACAGCAUCCAGUCUCAAGUGUGGACUUCUAACAGCCAUCUUAUAUCACAAACGUCAUCUCUGCUUCCAGAGGGCACAGCCUAGAACAGGAACAAAGGGGCUUAACUCCUCAGUGAUGUUAAGUAUCCUGACUGAAGCCUGGGAAUGUUCCACACUCACUGUCCUGUGGCCCGGACAAAUGAGAGUUGUUUAUCUUUCAACUCCACUUAGAAAAGUAAAUUUAAAAAACUCAUUAAAAAAAAAAAAA
rnacentral:lncRNA from 1 species